GCCCACUCAGCUCAAAGGUUAGAGCAUCGCAUUUGUAAUGCGAUGGUCAUCGGUUCGAUUUCGAUAGUCGGCU
rnacentral:tRNA from 1 species